rnacentral:ncRNA from 1 species
GAUAACGGCAUAAUCCUAAUUCUAGAUUUCAACGGUAGGGUUACAACCUCGAUGCUGGAUCAGGACAUCCCAAUGGUGUGACCGCUAUGAAGGGUCUGUUUGUCCAACAAAGAAAGUCCUGCAUGACUUGGGUUCAGACUGGAGUAGUCCUGGUC